UCACCACCACGCGGCCGGCGGGGCUCGCCUGGCCCCCGUUCGCAGAUUUCUUCUGCAUCCAUUUAGAGCCAUACUGGACAUAUUUUAGCUUCAGCUGUCAAUCACUAUGGUACAAAUGUGUCCUCCUCUGACAGCAGAGUAAGGUGUCCUCAGACAGUGUGAAUGUCCUGACUCUCCAGUGUAUCUCCUUUGAUGCCAGCCUAGAAGAGACAGAGAAAAGCCUUUCACUUCUGCUGGGUGGGGUGGAAAUUCCCUGCUCCCUACUCAGCUUUCUUUGAUACUUCCUCAUGGUGGAAUGGGUGUAUCCGUGAUGAAAUGCAAGCUGCAUUCUUGGCUCAAGGACCAGCAUCUUCUGGAGGAAAGAAAAUUGAGAUGCAGAGUGUCCCAAGGUGGAGCCAAAUGAAGGAGCGACAGAAGUUGACUCUGUAAAUCCAUCUGGCUGCUUUGUCCUCAGCACCUCCAGAAAACUGAAGCUGAGCACUUCUGAUUUCUGAGGGCCCACGUUGAGACAUCCCUCGAAGCAGGCUGUGUCUUUUCAAGCCAGAGGCUCUGCAGCCACCUGUGAGGUUGGAUUCCAAGUCGUAGCUGGCGCAGCUACAGAGAGUGGGAGAUGACGAGAAAAAAGAAGGCCGCUUUUCUGCUAUCAUUUUAACACCGAUGAAGCAGUUUGGCAGAGGAACACAGACUUUGGUAACAAAUAGAUUCUAUUUUGAUCUCCAUCUAUCCCAGAGCUUUGCUGUGUGGCCUCGGGCAAGUCACGUUGCUUCUCUGGGGCUCCAUGUCCUCUCUGUCAAAAGGGGACAGUAAUAAGGCCUACCUGUCCUGGUUGCUGAGGGGUUUACCCCUGGGAGGUUAAAUUCUUUUUUAUUUUAUUUUAUUUUUAUAUUCCCCAUAUAAUUGCAACCCCCUUAUUUUGACCCCUAUCCUGCCUUUCCCCGCCUCCCCCAUAAAG